GACGAACUGUGCAAACGUUAUUCGGAAUCACUGGGCUUGAAGCGUGCGUAGGCGGUUUUGUAAGUCGGGUGUGAAAGCCUCCGGCUUAACCGGGGAAUUGCGCUCUAAACUGCAAGGCUGGAGUGAGGUAGGGGUGUGUGGAACUUCUAGUGGAGCGGUGAAAUGUGUUGAUAUUAGAAGGAACGCCGGUGGCGAAAGCGACACACUGGACCUUGUCUGACGCUGAGGCACGAAAGCCAGGGGAGCAAACGGG
rnacentral:rRNA from 1 species